rnacentral:rRNA from 3 species
CUUGGCGACCAUAGCGCUUUGGACCCACCUGAUCCCAUGCCGAACUCAGUAGUGAAACGAAGCAGCGCCGAUGGUAGUGUGGGGUCUCCCCAUGUGAGAGUAGGACAUCGCCAGGC